rnacentral:misc_RNA from 1 species
GAUGAAGAACGCAGCGAAAUGCGAUAAGUAAUGUGAAUUGCAGAAUUCAGUGAAUCAUCGAAUCUUUGAACGCACAUUGCGCCCGCUAGUAUUCUGGCGGGCAUGCCUGUCCGAGCGUCAUUUCAACCCUCAAGCCCCCGGGCUUGGUGUUGGGGAUCGGCGAGCCUCCGCGCCCGCCGUCCCCUAAAUCUAGUGGCGGUCUCGCUGUAGCUUCCUCUGCGUAGUAGCACACCUCGCACUGGGAAACAGCGCGCCCACGCCGUUAAACCCCCAACUUCUGAACGUUUGACCUCGGAUCAGGUAGGAAUACCCGCUGAACUUAAGCAUAUCAAUAAGCGGAGGA